rnacentral:rRNA from 1 species
GACGAACGCUGGCGGCGUGCCUAAUACAUGCCAGUCGAACGCUUCUUUCCUCCCGAGUGCUUGCACUCAAUUGGAAAGAGGAGUGGCGGACGGGUGAGUAACACGUGGGUAACCUACCCAUCAGAGGGGGAUAACACUUGGAAACAGGUGCUAAUACCGCAUAACAGUUUAUGCCGCAUGGCAUAAGAGUGAAAGGCGCUUUCGGGUGUCGCUGAUGGAUGGACCCGCGGUGCAUUAGCUAGUUGGUGAGGUAACGGCUCACCAAGGCCACGAUGCAUAGCCGACCUGAGAGGGUGAUCGGCCACACUGGGACUGAGACACGGCCCAGACUUCUACGAGAGGCAGCAGUAGGGAAUUUUCGGCAAGGGACGAAAGUCUGACCGAGCAACGCCGCGUGAGUGAAGAAGGUUUUCGGAUCGUAAAACUCUGUGGUUAGAGAAGAACAAGGACGUUAGUAACGGAACGUCACCUGAGGGUAUCUAACCAGAAAGCCACGGCUAACUACGG